AAAAGACACAUUUUUCAACAAGUGAUGUUAAGGUAACCACAUAGGAUCCUUCCUUCCUGCAUUUGUUAUUUUUUAAGUGCUAAAGGAAUCAAAGGUGUAAAUAUAAGGUAAAUGAUAAAAAUAUUAGAAGAAAAUAUGAAAUAAUUUAACAACUCAACUACACAUGAAUAAAACAUAACUACAGGGUACAAGCAUCACAAAUGCAGUCAGGCUUAAAGACAAAAUUGUGAGACAAAACUUGUAAAACAGAUGAUUAUAAGAAUAAUUAAAAUUAAUAGGAAAGAAGUCAAUGACCCAAUUAAAAUAAGCAAAGGAUAUUAACCAAUUAUUCGUCAACAAAAGAAAUAUGAAUUUUUUAAAGAUGUUCAGCCUACUUUUUAAAAAAAGUAAUACAUAAAUUUUAAUUUAUUUUGGCAGAGAUCAAAGAGUUUGAAAAUGCACUAUACUGGCAAGGGUGUGGGGAAGGAGCUGUUCUCAUACUCUCUCGUGUCGUCUUGUUGAACUCACAUUAAAAACUCUGUAAAAUAGAUGUCUAUUAAAAAGAAAGGGGAACAGUGAAAACGGAAGAUGGCAUCUGUGAAAGAGAAAGAAGAAAAAAAGAAAAAAAAAUAAAGAAAUCAGUUCGGGUCAACAUUGAGAGGAAAACUUCUGGAUGGGCAGAGCUCCCAGUAAUGGACUUGGUCAGCCAUUUUGUAUGGAACGAGAAACAGCCUGAGACUACUACUGCUAUUCAGUCUUCCAGAAUCCUUGUGCCAAGAAACCAGCAGGGAAGGAAAGGAGGCACCACCCUGGAAGAGCCUCCAGUCUAGCUCCAGCUGCACCCAAACAUUGUAACAGCUAUAAGCCUGGGAACUACAGGU
rnacentral:lncRNA from 10 species